rnacentral:misc_RNA from 1 species
UACGGAGGGUGCAAGCGUUGUCCGGAUUUAUUGGGUUUAAAGGGUGCGUAGGCGGCCUUAUAAGUCAGUGGUGAAAGCCCAUCGCUCAACGAUGGAAUUGCCAUUGAUACUGUAAGGCUUGAGUACAGACGAGGUAGGCGGAAUUGAUGGUGUAGCGGUGAAAUGCAUAGAUACCAUCAAGAACACCGAUUGCGUAGGCAGCUUACUAGGCUGUAACUGACGCUGAGGCACGAAAGCGUGGGGAGCGAACAGG